rnacentral:misc_RNA from 1 species
GAAAAUUCGAGAAAAAAUGCAGACCGGAACCUCAAGCGAAGCAACGGUACCGGACCACCAAUAGCCUCGUAACAAGAUUCUUACUUCUUAGUUCUUACCUUCUCUUUCCUCUCCUUUCUUUCUUCGUACCCACACUGAAUCCGAGGCCUUUUGCUCUCUCACUUCGUUCUCAAUUUAACAUUUUCGUUUUCAUUUUUUUUUUAUUUUUUUCUUCGAUAUUUAUUUUCGUUUGUCCCAUAUAUUCUUUGCCUCCCCAAGUGGAAAAGUGAAUAGAGAGAGAGACAGAGCGAGAGAGAGACAGAGUGGGAGAGACGGGUGUGCUUGUGGAUUUCUGGGUUUUACCAAAAUUUUCAGGGCGACCCAGGAGUUGAUGGGUUCAUAGCAACAUAAUAAUUGUAGUAAUUAAAGUAAUGGGGAGUUACAUUGAAGAGGAAGAGGAACGAUUUUUUGAUAGCCGCGAGAAUAUUUCUUCUGUGUCUGAUUCGGAUUCAACUUGUUAUGACGAUUGCAGUUCUAGUGUUGAGUUUGAUAAUAGUUUUUCUCAAUACGAGGUUUGGAUUAAGACACCGGAAAGUGUUCAGAAUCGCCGCAAUAGGUUCCUGAAUUGGAUGGGUGUAACUUUGGAUCAAAAUACAAUCGCCCAGGAGGAGUCACCUGAUCAAUCCUCCACUAAAAUCCAACUGGGUAUUGAUAGAAUGGUGGAUACUAGUGGGGCAGUGUUGAGGAUGUCGGGUUUUGAAGAUGAUCAGUCUUCAAUGUCUUCUCACUCAAUUGAAACUUGGGAUGAGUUUGAAACUAACAUGGAGAAUACUUCUGUUUAUGAAACUAGAAAAUUGGAUGAUGGAAAAGAGUUUGUAGUGGAUGAAAUUGAUCAAAAUGGGAUGCUUAGCAGACUACACGAACUGUGCGCCAAUAGAUCUCUUAGUUUUGAAGAGUUUCAGAGGAUUACUGGGAUAUCCCCUUUGAUUCAGAGACUUACGAAUAAAUAUGUCAGGGAUGCCAGGGUUAUGACUGAAGCCAAAAAGAAAGCAAAGAGUUGGUUAAGAAGAUUAGGAAGAUUAAGUCAUGCAGGACAAAUUGCUGAUAGGCAUGGGUUAGCGCCUUUGAAGCCCAAUGAAUAUGAAUCGACUGUAGGAUCAAAGAUGCAAAGGAUUAAAGUUCAUCCAUCCAAGAAGCGGUCCAAGGAAUUGUCUUCUCUCUAUGCCAGACAGGAAUUUUUAGCACAUAAUGGAUCAAUUUUGACAAUGAAAUUCAGUCAUGAUGGGCAAUACUUGGCAAGUGGUGGUGAAGAUGGCGUUGUGCGCGUGUGGAGGGUGAUUGAGGAUGAUAGAUUGGACCAAUUUCACAUCUCAGCUAAUGAUCCUUCAUGUCUGUAUUUCACAAUGAAUCAUCUUUCCAAAAUAGCUUCUCUUGAUGCGGAUGAAAUGAAAAUUGAUAAAACAAAGAGGCAAAUAUCAUCAGACUCGACUUGUGUUAUUUUUCCACCCAAGAUUUUCAGAGUAUUGGAGAAGCCUCUGCAUGAGUUUCAGGGACACAGUGGUGAGGUUUUGGAUCUCUCAUGGUCUAAAAAAAUGGUUAGCAUCCCAGUUUUUUUGGAUAAAAAUUGCAAUUUUUCUGGAAUUUGAAAAUUUUGAAUUUAGUGGCUGUGCUUUAAACUUGCAUAAAGUCUUCUUGACCAAAUGAAGUGUAAUAUCUUUACAUCUUGUUUAUAAUUAUGCAGUUUCUGUUAUCAUCCUCUAUUGAUAAGACAGUUUGCCUCUGGCAAGUGGGACACGACAGAUGCCUGAGAGUUUUUUUCUCAUAAUAAUUAUGGUUUGUCACCUGUUAUAUCUAAAUUUCUUUUAACAUGUUUAUGCUAAACCAUUUAUUUACUGUUGGUUGACUUAUUUCAGUAUGAUGAUCUCAAUUCUUUGUUCCAGUUUCAUUUGGCUGUUUUACAAUGAUGAUUUAAUAUUUCUAUCAUUUUCAUUCAUUGCAGUGACUUGUGUUGACUUCAAUCCUCUUAAUGAUAAUUAUUUCAUCAGUGGUUCAAUAGAUGGAAAAGUUCGCAUCUGGGAAGUGCUUGGUUGUCAGGUUGUUGAUUAUACUGUUAUAAGGGAAAUUGUUACUGCCGUGUCUUUUCGUCCUGAUGGAAAGGUGGGAAAAAUCAUUUGUCUUCCGCGUAUAAAAGGCUUUCUUUGGAAGAUUUAGAUCAAUUUAAUUUUAAUGUAAAAGUUCUUUGCUUGAAUCUUGCAGGGUGGAAUAGUGGGCACACUGACAGGAAAUUGUCUUUUUUAUGAUAUCAUAGGUAUGCAUUUGUAUGAUUUAAAGCAAAAUUUCAUUAGUUCUUUACCACAAAAGCAAUUGACUGGGCAAAUUUUGUGAUGCUCCUAAAUAAUUACAUUCUUGCUAUUGUUCUAUGUAUUUUUAAUGAUAAAUACAUAGAUUGAUUCCUAUUUUCCACUUCUUGAUGUUUUUUCCAUAGGGAGGUUCCUGCUGACUACCCUGUGAUCAUGUUCUUUAUGUUGCAGAUAAUCGCUUGCAACUUGAUGCUCAAAUAUCCUUACAGGGCAAAAAGAAGUUAACAGGCAGGAGGAUUACUGGCUUUGAGGUGCUCAAAUUUUGUCCUCUUUUUUGUUAAGACAACUUGUUUCUUUGCUAUUGAUUUUAAUAGGUAAAGGCUUAACUGCUUACGAUUUUAUCAUCCAGUUCUCCCCGAGUGAUCCAACCAAAGUAGUAGUAUCUUCUGCUGAUUCAAUAGUACGAGUAUUGAAUGGCAUGGAUGUCAUAUGCAAAUUUAGAGGUUGGUAUCUAUUACUAUUGACUUGAACCUUUUUGGUUUGCCACUUCUUUAUUUGGUGUUAUUUGUGAGAUAACCAUCUAGGUUGGCUUGCAAAUUGCCUGUUUAGAUAAUUUAACUAGGUGGAAUAUGCACCCUUUUUUUUUACCACGUUUAUGUGAUGUUCCAGUAUGAUUGCUUUAGCAUUGCCCUUUGCAUUAGCUUGACUGUUAAUUUGUUUUCCCUUUUAGUGUCUAGCAUUGGCAUUGCAGCGAACCAAAUGUCUGCAUCUUUUACCACAGAUGGGAAACAUGUUGUCUCAACAAGUGAAGAUUCUAAUGUUUACAUUUGGAACUACAAUAACCAGGAAAAGAGUGCCUCUCAAGCCAAAAACAUUCACUCUUAUGAGAGUUUCAGGUCUCAAAAUGUAUCGAUUGCAAUACCUUGGGGCGGCAUUGAAAAUGGGCCAGGAGCACUUGUAUCCCCCACACCUGGUAGGGAUAUGCAUGGAAGUAGCGAAAAAAAUGGACAUGUCUGUCAUAAAUAUUUUGGGAAGUUGGACCACAAAAUUCUUCAACCUUCGUCAGAUUGUUUCUCUCUUACUCGUGGGUUUUUGUUAGAUUCUUUGACGAGGGGAUCUGCAACUUGGCCUGAAGAGAAACUUACUGAUUCAAGCCCAGUUGCUAUGUCACCUACAAAGAGUAAAUCUGAAUUCAAGUUUUUGAAGAGUGCCUGCCAGAAUAUCCUCAGUUCUCCUCAUCUAUGGGGUCUUGUGAUCGUAACUGCUGGCUGGGAUGGACGAAUUAGAACAUACCUCAAUUAUGGGUUACCUCUACGCAUUUGAAACUUCAAGUUUUGGCAGAAUGAUCUACGCCUUAGUAUUGGUUUUCUGGCAUUUCGGCAGUGGCACCAAGGCUUGCCAUCCGGUGGAUGCUUCAUGUUUCUGGUUAGCAUAUACAACAGUGGAGCAAGAGAUCUACUUCUUGUGGACACCCUCAAUUUAUCAAGUGUUUAUGGAAAUACACAAUGCAACAUAUCUAUAAUCCUGCUGUUACAAUUGGCUGGGGUUUAGUUACAUUUUUAUUGUAUUUUAAUGCACAUGUUACUUAAAUGAUUCUUUGAUUUGUUUUAAUGCUGCCAUUACAAAAUUGAAUGCAAGUUGUGUUAAAUGAUGAGAGAAAUUUUGAGGUCAUUGUGUAUGGAUUAUUGAGGGAUCAGCAGCGCCCUAUUCCCUGAUGGUCCCAGGGUGGAGCUUCUUUGGGGCAUGACCCUCAAAUUUACGGUACAAAAAAACAUUAAUACAAAG